rnacentral:rRNA from 1 species
GACGAACGCUGGCGGCGUGCUUAACACAUGCAAGUCGAACGGAAAGGCCCUGCUUUUGUGGGGUGCUCGAGUGGCGAACGGGUGAGUAACACGUGAGUAACCUGCCCUUGACUUUGGGAUAACUUCAGGAAACUGGGGCUAAUACCGGAUAGGAGCGCCUGCUGCAUGGUGGGGGUUGGAAAGUUUCGGCGGUUGGGGAUGGACUCGCGGCUUAUCAGCUUGUUGGUGGGGUAGUGGCUUACCAAGGCUUUGACGGGUAGCCGGCCUGAGAGGGUGACCGGCCACAUUGGGACUGAGAUACGGCCCAGACUCCUACGGGAGGCAGCAGUGGGGAAUAUUGCACAAUGGGCGGAAGCCUGAUGCAGCAACGCCGCGUGCGUGAUGACGGCCUUCGGGUUGUAAACCGCUUUCGCCUGUGACGAAGCGUGAGUGACGGUAAUGGGUAAAGAAGCACCGGCUAACUACGUG